AACGAACGCUGGCGGCAGGCUUAACACAUGCAAGUCGAACGCCCCGCAAGGGGAGUGGCAGACGGGUGAGUAACGCGUGGGAAUCUACCUAGUUCUACGGAACAACAGAGGGAAACUUCUGCUAAUACCGUAUACGCCCUAAGGGGGAAAGAUUUAUCGGAAUUAGAUGAGCCCGCGUAGGAUUAGCUAGUUGGUGGGGUAAUGGCCUACCAAGGCGACGAUCCAUAGCUGGUCUGAGAGGAUGAUCAGCCACACUGGGACUGAGACACGGCCCAGACUCCUACGGGAGGCAGCAGUGGGGAAUAUUGGACAAUGGGCGCAAGCCUGAUCCAGCCAUGCCGCGUGAGUGAUGAAGGCCUUAGGGUUGUAAAGCUCUUUCAGUAGGGAAGAUAAUGACGGUACCUACAGAAGAAGCCCCGGCUAACUUCGUGCCAGCCGCCGCAGUAAAAC
rnacentral:rRNA from 1 species